UCCCUGAUAGCUCAGUCGGUAAAGAAUCUGCCUGCAGUGCAGGAGACCUAGGUUUGAUCCCUGGAAAGGGAA
rnacentral:tRNA from 1 species